rnacentral:rRNA from 1 species
GCCGAAAGGCGUAGGCGAUGGACAACUGGUUGAUAUUCCAGUACCACCUCUGUUCCGCUUGAGCAAUGGCGUGACGCAGGAGGAUAGGGUGAGCGGCCUAUUGGAUGGCCGUCUAAGCAGUGAGUGUGGUGUGUAGGCAAAUCCGCACACCAGUAAGCACAAGCUGUGAUGGCGAGGGAAAUUUAAGUACCGAAGUCCCUGAUUUCACACUGCCAAGAAAAGCGUCUAGCGAGGAACAAGGUGCCCGUA